UCCGUAGGUGAACCUGCGGAAGGAUCAUUACAGAAAGUAAACGCGGAUCGAACCGCGAACUUCUAAACCUUUGACGAUUGACUCAUGUUGCCUCGGCGGGUUCUCCCGCCAGAGGAUACAUCAAAACUCCUGUUUUAACGGUGUUGUCUGAGCUACAAGCAACGAAUCAAAACUUUCAACAACGGAUCUCUUGGUUCUGGCAUCGAUGAAGAACGCAGCGAAAUGCGAUAAGUAGUGUGAAUUGCAGAAUUCAGUGAAUCAUCGAAUCUUUGAACGCACAUUGCGCCCCUUGGUAUCCCGAGGGGCAUGCCUGCUCGAGCGUCAUUUCACCACUCAAGCCUGGCUUGGUGUUGGGCGACGUCCCCAAAGGGGACGCGCCUCGAAACGCUCGGCGGCGUGGCACCGGCUUUAAGCGUAGCAGAAUCUUUCGCUUCAAAAGUCGGGGCCCCGUCUGCCGGAAGACCUACUCGCAAGGUUGACCUCGGAUCAGGCAGGGAUACCCGCUGAACUUAAGCAUAUCAAUAAGCGGAGGA
rnacentral:rRNA from 1 species